rnacentral:misc_RNA from 1 species
GAGAGAGAGAGAGAGAGAGAACUCUGAAAUUUGAUAUAACUGUGCAAGAUAUCGAAACAUUGCCUUUAGAAUAAAAGUAGGUUGAGGUGAGUGAAAUCAAGCAUGCAUUACUAAUACUUCUGGUCAUUUUUCUUUUAUCUUGAAGAUAUUGAAAUAUUGUCUUGGGAUAAUGUGCUUCUCAAAUUUCAUAUGCAAUGAUGCUGGAUAUCUUUUUGCAUAGUAAUUUUAAGUCGUAAAUUCCAUACUGAUCAUCCGUUCAUCGGUAAUCCUUGUUACCUUUUAAAGCCCAUAUGCAACUGCAAAUGACCAGUAGAUUAAAUUAUGACGAGUGUUUUCUGAUUCAUAAGCAGAUUUGUCAGGUUGAUUUAGAAGUCAGCAUUAUGCUGUUUACUGACUUGAAUUUUCUGCUAACGACCAGGGG